AAAUAGAUUAGUGCCUGUUGCGGGAAAGGCUUUUCCCAUGCGUGGAUUAUCAAUUCGCAUAGAGAUGAUGGUCUUCCUCUGAUGUCUCCAAGCCGGCCAUAAUAGAAUCCAUGUGAUGCCCAUAUGAAGAACUUUCUUGACUGCACUGAUGAAAUCCGUCGUAGGGCUUUGGAAACAGUUUGCCAUGGUUGAUUUGGGGUGUCUUUGGGACGGAAAGAAAAGCCAAGACAUUUCCUUACACAAAUACAAGUUUUUUUUAACCUUUGCUUUUCCCACCACAAAUACCUUCAUAAAUUCAAGACCCAAAUGGCCAAAUACAACAUAAGUGUCCCAUACUUUCACUAAUGAAAGCCAUCC